rnacentral:sRNA from 1 species
UUUUUUUUUGAAUACUAAGAGAUUUUGGGCCGAAUGCCAUAAUCAUAAUAAUCCUAAUGUAUUUUUUUUUUCCUUACGCUCCAUCUAAUGUUACUUACUCUUGAUGACUAGAAAUUUGCUAAAAAA